CAACCCGCAUCGAGAGGUGCGGCUGAGCCGGCAGAAGUCAGCCGAGGGCAUAGUAGGUGGGAUCGACCCCACGGAAGGCC
rfam:Spirochaetes bacterium RBG_16_67_19 RBG_16_scaffold_1702, whole genome shotgun sequence.